GGCCACGCCCCCUCGGCGCCCCGCUGCCCGGGUCGGAGGCUCCCACCCGCGGCAAUCAAUUACACAUCCCCAACGCUGGCCGGCCCGGAGGAAAUUGAUAUGCCCAGCACAAACCAAUGUGAAAAUGGAAUCUCAUUUGCCAAAUGUCUCUCUCCCGGUACAGCACGGAACACCGUGAUGGCUGGGGUGUCAUCAGCGGUGCUGAUGAAUGUUGGUCCUCACGGCUUCAGAAAGCCCCUGGCAGAGACGAGAGCCGGAUUCCCGCUCUGUAUCCCAGGCUUCUGCAAUGCCGGCUUUCUGAGACCUGCCCGUUUUCCCUCCUGGAGGGGUUUCCCACUUGUGUUUGCUCUGCGCUGUCCUGCAGUGCGGCUCAGGGUAAAUAAAUGGCCGCCCUGCCCUGCCCUGCUUCUGCCUUGGACUCCCGGGCGUGUGACCUCACAGCAGCCAGUCUUCCCCAGGUCUGGGGUUACCCCCCCCCCCGGGGGUGGGGCAAGGAGAUGAGUCCUGAGCGCCUGGCGUGGUGUUGGUGGGGUGCAGUGAUAGGGCUGUGGGGGCCCCCAGACCUCACGACCCACGUUUGCACCCCCACCACCCAUGGCAUCCAGCGGGAACUGGGUGAGCAAGGGGCAGGCUCAGGCUCUGCCUGUGUCCCGCUGCUCAUGUCUUUUCCUACAGAUGUUUCUGUGCGGCGGCUCCCUGCCUCCCUAGAAGGGGAGCCCCCAAAAGCAAACUGGGUGUGGGCUCCCCGCCGCACCCCCCACACCCACCUCUGCUCAGCACAUCCUUGGCGCCUUCGUGAACGAAUGCAUGGGGUCCCGGCUGCUCCACUUCCGAUCCAGCUCUCUGCUAUGGCCUGGGAAAGCAGUAGAGGAUGGCCCAAGUCCUUGGGCCCCUGCACCUACGUGGGAGACCGAAGGAAGCUCCUGGCUCCUGGCUUUGAAUUGGCGCAGCUUCAGCCAUUGCAGCCAUUUGGGGAGUGAACCAGCGGAAGGAAGACCUCUCUCUCUGCCUCUGCCUCUCAAAUAUA